CAGAGUUUCACUCUUGUUGACCAAGCUGCAGUGCAAUGGCGUGAUCUCGGCUCACUGCAAUCUCUGCCUCCCAGGUUCAAGUGAUUCUCCUGCCUCAGCCUUCUGAGUAGAUGGGAUUACAGGUGGCUUUUCUACAAUAUAAAGAUGGAAAUGGGAUGAAGAUGUUCAUUGCAAAUUAGGAAAGCUCUUCCACAAGUUCACCAAUGGAAAUAACAUCAAGAGUUUUUCAUCGUCUUAGUGUGCAAGGUA
rnacentral:antisense_RNA from 1 species